CUCACACACAUAGAUACACAAGCUUCCUUGUUGGUACGGUGGCGAAAGUGGGCCAUUGCUGUUAGGGUUCUACACUUCUACCGAUGGUAAAGAUAUUCAUUAGUCUCAAUCUCAUUUUUCUUCAAUAAUGUGUGACUGUAUAUUUUCCUUCUAAAUUUUGUUUUCCUUUCGGAUCAUCAUCUGCCGUUGUUCGAUCUUUAUCGCGAAAGUAAAGAUAUGAUUUUGAAGAUAAACUGAUCGAUUACGAGUGUUUGUUCAUGAAUUCAGCUCAUAUUUGCGGCUGUGAUGCAAUUUAUAUGGUUUGAUAUUGUGAUUUUGAGUUUUUUGUGGUUUUGUUGAUAACUAAGAUUCAAUGUCUGGACCACUUGAUCAAUUUACAAGGCCUUGUAAGUGUUUAAUUUAAUUACUUGAUCAUGUUGUUAAUAUAUUGUAAUGCAACUUUGGGUUUUAUCAUGGUGUGGCGUUGUGGACAUGUGUGA
rnacentral:lncRNA from 1 species